GACGAAGGAUGCAAGCGUUAUCCGGAUUCAUUGGGUUUAAAGGGAGCGUAGGUGGCCUUAUAAGUCAGUGGUGAAAUCUCUGGGCUUAACCCAGAAAUUGCCAUUGAUACUGUAGGGCUUGAGUAUAGUUCCGUUGGCGGAAUAUGACAUGUAGUGGUGAAAUACAUAGAGAUGUCAUAGAACACCGAUUGCGAAGGCAGCUAACGAAACUAUAACUGACACUGAGGCUCGAAAGUGCGGGGAGUCAAACAGG
rnacentral:rRNA from 1 species